UCCCUGGUGGUCCAGCGGCUAAGACUCCACGCUCCCGGUGCAGGGGGCCCAGGUUCAAUCCCUGGUCGGGGAA
rnacentral:tRNA from 1 species